ensembl:lncRNA
CCCAUCUCCACAGAGUCACCACGAGCCGCCGUCUCCCCACGUCGAGGAACAGAGUUUAAAGGGAGAACUGCGGCGCUGGGGAAUGCUUUUGACCGCCGACCGGGGGGGUCAGCCCUGGGCCGGCUUUGGGGUCAGGGAAACCCGAGGAAAGCGGCCUCUUUGGGAGACGCGAUCCCCGCUUUCCCCUUUUGCUGUCGUCUUUCUGUCCCUCCCGUGGAAGCGGGACACUCCCGCACCCCGCGGAUGGCAACGGAGGGAAACGAUCCUCUCCGAACUCCGCCGCCCCGUUAGUCUGCUUUCGGCCGCGACUUUCGCCGAGAAACCCAAAAGCGCUGAGAGCAGCACACCGUCAGUCGAGCAAAAACUCCAGCGUUUCGGAGGAGCUCUCAAAAUACAGCCCUACCUCCGCCCGCCGCCGAAACCGGACCCGUUAGAAGAGGUAAACCAUUUAGCCGGGAAGAAAAUACCAAACAAAAGCAAGCAAACAAACACACAAACCACAACAAAAAUGAAAAUGAAUCACACUCUCUCUCUCUCUAUAUAUCUCGGUAGCCUGAAGCACCUCCGAACGGGACAGUGUGGGACGGAAUGCUCCGCUGGGGCCGAGAGGGGAAACUAUGGGGAUAACGCUGCUGAGUGCGGAGUCGGGGAGCGCAGGAGAGCGAUGCGGGAGCGCGGUGUGUUUCUGACAGAGUGCGGUGGUUUAUGGGGCUGGGAUCGUAGUGCGGAAAGAGGGAAAAAGGCAAGAAAAGAAGCAAGAAAAAAAAAAAAAAGAACCCAAGAAAAACAGAAGGAAAGAUGUAAGAUAAAAAGGACACCUUUAUUGCUGGCCCGGCUUGAGAUACGCAGCUCCGGGAGCGCCGCUGAAGCGCGCGGUGGCUGCGGGGUCCUUCGGGGAGGGGGUGCCCGUUUGAAACUCAACGCGGGACACGAAAAUAAAGGAGUGACGAUAACGAAAACGGUUCCUGAUCGAACUGUUCCGAUCCCGUUUUCAAACAGGCUGCGGUGUUUCAAAACGGGUCGGGAGCACACGAUAGUUCUGAAGGUGAAAGCUGUCCUUGGGAACAGGAGAGGGAAAGUAUCAGUCACACAGAGGAAGCUUCAUGGUUGAAGAAUUAGGAAAAACCUUGUAUGAAAAGCACACACAAAGAGGAGUGUUUUUGCUCUGUUUGUCUGCAGACCUUUGAACAUGAUGAAAGUCAGUUUCUCCGCUGGAUGGGAACAUAUCACCCAAAGCCAAGGACAUCGGAGUUCACAGAAUCAGAGAAUCACUGAAUAUCCUGAGACGGAAUGGACCCAAAAGGAUCAUCAAGUACAACUCCUGGCUCCACACAGGACCAAACAGAAUUCAAGCUGUGUUUCUAAGAAUGCUUUCCAAGUGUUUCUUGAAUUCCAGCAAGUAUGGUACCAUGGCCAAUGCCCUGGGAAGACUUUUCCAGGUAACACCUACCAAUCUGUUCCCAUCCUGUGUUUAUGCUCCCCCCUACAAAAUGCUCACCCUUAUUCUUACUGAAUUAAAUAUUUUUACAUGUUAUUUUUCAGUUUUAUAGCCAUCAUGAAGAAUUUAAUAUUAUUCUUUCACUAUUCUGUGGUCAGCUCAAACCAUAGUAACCUGCAUAUGUGACUGCAAAUGUGUAAGCAUGUUGCUUAUUUUAAUAUCCAGUAAUGGAAAUACUGACUAGUACCUGUCUGUGGACAGAUUGCUAUAGUGCCAUGCUUGGGACAGCCUCCCAUGUCUUUAGUGAUCACUUGCCCAAGUACACCACUCCAAACACCUUUUCAUGCACUCCAUAAGAGGUCCUACUAUGUUUUUUAUUUCCCACUCUUUCAGUACAGCAACUAUAUUUCCCAAAUGUCCUCUUUCAAUGGCUUUCCCGUUCCAUUCUGUGGUCUUCUUUUUGAUACCCAUGUGCUCUACUCACACCCGCACUGCCACAUUUAGAGUUGGAAGGGAUAUUUCCCUUUCAGAGACCAAACUGGCUGCAACCAUCACAACUCUGUUCUCAACAGCAUGAAGUAUGGCUCUUUUUGUACAAUGUUCUGGGAGUUGUGAGAAAAAUUCUGCUAUUGAGCCAUCCAAGUAGCACACGUCCUUUAAAACAAUGUCUACAAAGGUGCCAGGAUAUUUUCCAAAACUGUUUAUGAAGAUUUGAGGCCAUAUACCAUGUAUAAAUUCACUAAAAUCAAGAUAACUUAAUGAUUGCAUUAACUAAUGAUAUGAUAUGAUCUGUCUCUCAGAAACCACCCCAUUUUAGUACACCACCACCACAAGUAUGAACACCUUAUACUUGAACAUGACUACCAGUACUUCAACUAUUAACAACAGCUCAAAAAUACCCAAAUAUUUUGCUGCCUUCAUUUUGAGAAAAGGCUUUGGUGGGCUGCAAUUACAUUUCACCUACUCUGACUGCUUCUUCCAGGGCCUCACUCCUCACCACCCUCCAGUAGGGCUCUUGGCUGUUUUUUAAUGGAAUAGCCUGAACAAACAUACUGCUCUCAGUGUGACGAUGUGCUGCUGGUUACUAAGCAGCAUUUGCAAAGAGUGUUUACUGCUCAGACCCCCUCCCCCUUUUAUCACUUAGAUGUUAUCUGCACAACAGGCACAAUUGUAAGUAGAUGCUGACACUAUAAACAAGCACGCUUCAGAUUUAUGCUUCCACAUUAUACUUUUAACAUGCUACUUAUUUUGAGGGAACUAAAUAAAAUUAUGACGAUGAUUCUAGCUAAAAAUGCAUGGUGCACACUAUCCAAGAAAUCUAACAAAAACAUUAAAUAUGUCCCAGGAAAUCAAAUUUAUAGCACAGGAAAUGUUUAGUGACUUCAUUACUCAGAUUACCAGUUGGAUAUCAGUUACAUCAUCAGCAACCUCCAAUUUCCUGUUUUGCUUAUCAUAGAGUUACUGUUUUCUUUUUUUAAUGUUUGCACAGCCCGUGUGGCAACAGCUACAGUGAGAUCAGAUACAGGAAUUUUCUGUGAUGGAUUAAAGAUCAUGUUUAUUUUAUCAUUUUUGAAGAAAUAAUAAUAAUAAUGUUGGGAACUGAAUGUGUACAAAACAUAAAUAGGCUUCUAUUUUUUUUUUCCACUGGAAAAGAUAUGAUUUGUGGCAAUAUGUGCAUUAGUUCUUCGUAAAUAUUAUUGAUUUGUGUCCCGCUUCAGAAUUGUUCCUUCCUACUGACUAAGAAAUGAUACCAGACUUCUGGCAGUUGACAGUCACAUUAUAUACUUCUGGUCCUUACAGAAACUUGCGUUUCUUUGCUCUCUUUAUGUCUAUGAAUCAGCCACUCCUUGUGCUUGUAACUCUCCUAUUAAUCUUACAAGUUGCCUGGUCUUGUAAAAGCCUGACCCACAGUUUCAGACAAGUAUGAAUCUCUGUCAUGGCAAUACCAACUUCAUUCAAGGAAAAGUGUAUUUCUUUGUCAUUCCCAAUCAUUCUGUGAAACUCCAGAUUUUUCUUCUAACGCAGAGCUUCACACAUAAUUGACUGAUCUCCAGACUCCUCCCAAGCUCUAGCAUCUUUUUGGCCUCUCUGAAGGCCUGUGAGGUUCCUAAGUGAAAGCCUUGAGAUAUGGACCUGGAGAUCACCUGGCCAAAAUCACACAGAAAAUGGACUUGAUCUGGGGCUGGUAGAUAACUCAUAGCAUUAGGUUGGGCCUGUUUCUUUUCUAAAUUUUAACUUACUUUGGAGAAGCUCUCUUCCAAGUGACUAAAAUCACACUUACGAGGCCUCUGUAGCGAAGGAAAAAGAAAGGCAAAAUUUGUGAUCCAUAUACGGGUUAGUGGGUGAUAACAGUGUGGAGUUAUAAAAUAAUGCAUAUUCACCAAAGGUAUAUAUUCACCAACUGUGUGCCAGGGGGUUAAACACAUCUUCAGUUGUUAUUAUGGAUUAAAAAGUAGGUAAAAUAAAAUUUCUUGAUAACAUAGAAAAAAUGGAUUAAUGAAGAAAUAUACUUUAAUGAAUGGUAUUAGACUAUUUGUGAAAACAAACAAAAAAACAAUGCCACACAAAUCUUUAAGUCAGUUUCAUCAAUUGAUUGUCAAGUCUUUUUCAUACUGUCUUUUGCCUUUGGAAAAACACAGUGAGAUAGGCUGAGAUGUAACAACAGUAUUAAUGCACAAAAUAAAAGCAUCCUCGUGACAAUAUUAAGAAGUUAAAAAAAAAAAAAAAGCAGUAGAUUUACAAAUGCAAAAGCUUAUAGAAAAUUUCUCUUGUCCUCUAGCAAGCACCAGAACCUCCUGAUUGGAAAGUAACCAAUAGCCAAGAGACAUUCAAACUGAAAUAAUUAUUACUUGUGCAAGUAAUUAUUUCCAAACUGGCAAAAUUUGACUUCUUCUCUGCUUUAGCAGCUACCAUACAGUUUUUGAGGCUGUCUUCUACUUGUUCUCUUUGAAGAAAAAUGCAGUGGUAUUCAGAAUGUUUUCCUCUCUGAUCUAGCUGAAAUCGCACUCACAAGCCCUUGCUUACACGUAGAAUUUCCACAUUAAUUGGUUCUGGAAACCAGGCUGCCCUCUUGGAAUCUUAAACUUAGCAACUUUGAGCAAAAGUCUGAUUAAUAUCAGCAAAAAUCCUUCUCUUGCACCUCCUUUGUUUUCACAAAACAUAGACUUUCUGGUGGGCAUUUUUUAGGUAAGUGUGCUGCUUGAAUUAAUAGGUAAAAAUAGAGUCGUUGAAUCAUAGAAUUGUAGAAGCAUAGUACCACAGAAUCACAGAAUGGCUUGGAUUGGAGCCUUAAAGUCCACACCGCCCCAACCCCUGCCAUAGGCAGGGCUGCCCCCCACCAGCUCAGGCUGCCCAGGGCCCCAUCCAACCUGGCCUUGAGUGCCUCUAGGGAUGGUGCACCACAGCUUCUAGCUGCACUUUUGCCUAGUGUUCCAAAAAUGCUUUCACUGCCAUUGACAAAUAAUACGUUGCAUGAAAGAGGGAAGAGAAAUCACAUGCAUACUUUUAUGUCCAGUUCUUCCCAACUUCCCUCCCUCAACUUACUUCUCUACUCUGCUUAUGUGCAGGUUGUGGGUAGUUAUAUUAAUGCAAAUAAGAAAGAUGUUAGCCCCAGAUCAUCCUGAUGUCAUUAACAUGCAUGACAGAAAAUGGAUUACAAAUGAUCUACCCUGCAGAAUAAGGCUUUAUAUUUUUCUUUAUUUAUUUUUGUUAACUGGGCAACAGGGCAUUAAAGCCUUGUGAUGUAUUAACUUUUUGGCCUGGAACUGAUUUAAGGCUGCACAAGGAAGAGUUUUUGAUGCACCAUUUGUGGUAUGAGCAUAUUUUGACAUCAGCAAUUUUUAAGAUAUCUAUAAUACCACUGUGACUUCAACGUUUUAUUUGUCCAUGCUAACAAAUAUAGUACUCUAAAUACAUUAAAUUCUGUGUAUUUUAAAUAUGGAUAUAAAUAUAUUGCUUUAAACAAUACAUUGUUUAGAGUUAUGUGUU